UCCUGGGGCCAAACUGGCUCAGAGGUUAAAGCGUCUGCCUGGAAUGCAGGAGACCCGGGUUCGAUCCCUGGGUUGGGAA